GGUUAUGGCUCAGCAGUAGAGCUCUUGCCUCACACGUGCAAGUCCCUGGGUUCGAUUCUCAGCACCA
rnacentral:tRNA from 1 species